rnacentral:rRNA from 1 species
AUGGCCGUCUUGCAGCCCGUGCUAGUGUUGAGCAUCGGCACCACCUUGAACAUCUUGAAGAACCCCACGGCGACGCUCUCGGUGUUGCCGUGCUUGGUCCGACGCCUCAAGAGAGCACGCCGGCCGCCUUACCGGCCUCCGUGGCAACGCCUCGGCCCAUUCCCCAUUCCUGGUCUUAGGGAGAUGGCCGCGAACGCACGUCCGCCGCGACGGCUCGCCCCAUUCCUGGUAUCGGGCGACGCGGACGGCCGCCGGGACGCAUCACCCCGUCCUUCGCUCCUGCGGCGUAGACGCCGGCGGCAAGCGGGCGGUGCGUGCAUGGCGGAGGACAAUGCAAAUGGAUAA